UUGACAAAGGCAAACCUAUCGAAAGCUAGGGACGCAAAGCUACAGGGGUUAAGGCGAUUCAUCGCUAAACCAGCCAGCUACCGA
rnacentral:ncRNA from 1 species